GCCAGAUCUUCUGCAAGCAUGAUCUUGUAUUUAGCAGAUUUCACACCGAUCAAAGUAUUCCAAGGGCUCUGACAAGAAUAAAUCACAAUUUUAACUACUAUAUCCAAUUAAAAACUUCUGAAAAAAUCAACCCACAAAAUUCCUGAUGUAUGAACUAUGAAUCAAAUUUGGGUGAUUGUUAUGGUGCGGGGCAUCCCCUAAACAAUAAGUUCAUCUUCAAGAUAGUUAUACUCAAAAGUGAACUCGGUCUUGAUUCUUUGACACCAUCCAUGUUGGAGGUCAUCAUUGGCAAUAUGGAAAUCAAAGUAAACAUAAGUGCCCAGUUCAUAUUCAUCAGUUGCAACUUUGGGUUCCUCAUGCCGUUGAAACCAGGUGUUGUAUUUUCUGUGGUAUCUCCAGGAUUGCUUCUUUAGCUCUCUUGCAGCCAAAUAUUGCUGAUAGGUAUUCUGUUGGUAGUAGAACGCAAAGAACAAAGUAUCAGUGCCAUAAUUAUCAAUGGUUAGUCGUUCCCAGAAUCCAGGAUUAUUUACAAUAGGUGCCUGAACUUGAGGAUAGCUAGGAGGUGUGGCUGCAGGGUGCCUUGGAGGAUAGCUCCUAGCACGUUCCGAGUCUUUAGGUUGAGGAAGUUUGUGAUAUGCAGCCUCAAGCAUCUGCAAAUUGUAUAACUGAUCAUGCAGAGCCCCAGAAUUCACAGCAGAUCCACUGAUAGUAUCACCAAUGGCACCAAGGUCAGAGACACUUCUCCGACCAAUAACACCAAGGGCAGUAGAAGGUUGACCGGAUUGUAUGGGUUGCCCAGGCGAGAGAUCAAUAUCUCUUGGCACUUGGACAGGCUCUGCCAAAGAAGCAGAUGCUCCUGUAGGAGUAUCCAUUGCGUAUGGAGUUUUCAAUUCAUCCUUGUUCACAAGAUUUUUGCUCAGCCCAGAUGUAGCAACAGAUUCAGGAAUUGAAUCAUCAGGUAAAUUCUGAGGUUGCUGCUGCUCCUCGGCGUUCAAAUGCCCAACAUCUGCAUCUUUUGCACUACUUGAUAUCAUAACUUGUUGACUAGACUGUUGAUGGAUGGAGUUUUGCUGCUGUAAGGCAGCAGAUGUAACAACACUGUGACCUGGUGCCUGAACUCCAAGUCCCAGACUAGAUUGAGAAGAGACAGAUGAACUUUGAGAAUUGAACUGCUGCAACAAGGGGUUUUGUUGGGCAGAAAACUUUUUAUGAUUUCCACCAGCAAGAGGUGGCAUGCCAAGAAGGGUGCUGUGACCUUGUUGCUGGACUUGUUGAAGGCGUUGCAAAAAUUUCUCCCUCUGAUCAGG
rnacentral:misc_RNA from 1 species